UUUUUAUAAGGAUAACUACGGAAAAGCUGUAGCUAAUACUUGACCGAUUGUUGUAUAAUUAUCCUCGGAUAAUUAUAUAACAUGUAUUUGUUAGCCUUAUAAGAAAAAAGUUAUUAAAUUAAGGAAUUAUAACAAAGAAGCAACACAUAAUAAACUUGUUUUAUUAAGUGUGUAUCAAUCGAGUUUCUGACCUAUCAGCUUUUGAUGUUAGGGUAUUGGCCUAACAUGGCUAUGACGGGUA
rnacentral:rRNA from 1 species